rnacentral:tRNA from 2 species
GCGGAAGUGGCUCAGUUGGUAGAGCACAACCUUGCCAAGGUUGGGGUCGCGGGUUCGAGCCCCGUCUUCCGCUCCA